GACGAACGCUGGCGGCGUGCUUAACACAUGCAAGUCGAACGGAAAGGCCCUGCUUUUGUGGGGUGCUCGAGUGGCGAACGGGUGAGUAACACGUGAGUAACCUGCCCUUGACUUUGGGAUAACUUCAGGAAACUGGGGCUAAUACCGGAUAGGAGCUCCUGCUGCAUGGUGGGGGUUGGAAAGUUUCGGCGGUUGGGGAUGGACUCGCGGCUUAUCAGCUUGUUGGUGGGGUAGUGGCUUACCAAGGCUUUGACGGGUAGCCGGCCUGAGAGGGUGACCGGCCACAUUGGGACUGAGAUACGGCCCAGACUCCUACGGGAGGCAGCAGUGGGGAAUAUUGCAGAAUGGGCGGAAGCCUGAUGCAGCAACGCCGCGUGCGGGAUGACGGCCUUCGAGUUGUAAACCGCUUUCGCCUGUGACGAAGCGUGAGUGACGGUAAUGGGUAAAGAAGCACCGGCUAACUACGUG
rnacentral:rRNA from 1 species